rnacentral:sRNA from 1 species
UAACGUCACUGUCACGUAUAAUUAUUGCC